GAGGAAUCUUGGUCAAUGGGCGCAAGCCUGAACCAGCGACGCCGCGUGGAGGAUGAAGGCCCUCGGGUUGUAAACUCCUUUUGGGUGGGAAGAAGCUCUGACGGUACCACCCGAAUAAGCCCCGGCUAACUACGUGCCAGCAGCCGCGGUAAUACGUAGGGGGCGAGCGUUGUCCGGAUUUAUUGGGCGUAAAGCGCGCGCAGGCGGUUCGUUAAGUCCGUUGUGAAAGCUCCCGGCUCAACUGGGAGAGGUCUUCGGAUACUGGCGAACUCGAGGGAGGCAGAGGAAGGUGGAAUUCCGGGUGUAGUGGUGAAAUGCGUAGAGAUCCGGAGAAGCACCAGUGGCGAAGGCGGCCUUCUGGGCCUUUCCUGACGCUGAGGCGCGAAAGCGUGGGGAGCGAACC
rnacentral:rRNA from 1 species